AAGACUCUAGUAAAAUUAUUACAUUAGUUUGUCAAACUAAAGUUACUUAAGUGUUUCUUA
rnacentral:tRNA from 1 species